rfam:Oryza nivara chromosome 6, whole genome shotgun sequence.
AAUAUGUGCAGUUUUGUAUUAUUCACAUUUUUAUUUGAAAAUAUUUUAUGAUUAUUAUUUUUAUUGCUAUUAGAUGAUAAAACAUGAAUAAGUACACAUAUUUUUAAAUUUUUUAUAAUUUUUUUAAAUAAGAUGGACGGUUAAAUGUUAGACACGGAUAACCACGGCUGCACUUAUU